ACUCCUCCCACUAUUUAAAUUUUAACUUUCUAAUAUCUCUUCUGUUUUACCUUUGAUCGAGCUGUCCUCAUACUCACAGGUUUGGCCCUCUCAGUGGUAGGUGUGUGCGUUUUGGGAGUUAGAUUAACGAGCUCAUGGGUUCUCUAGUGUCCAUUCCAUCAAGGUCCUCCUAUUCUGGAUAUAGUCAGUGGUCAUGAUACAGGAAUUAAGUGUGCAACUUUAGCACGCAAGUCAACCAAUGCUCUAAAUUUAUUAGCCAUACUCCUUCACAUUUUCCCAAAAUGUUUUCUACUGGUAGAAUAGAUCAUGCAGUGCUCCUACACAGUAUCAGAAGUCAAGUCAGUGCUACGCAAUAGCAGGUUCAUUAAUAACAUUGCCACUUAAAUGUCUGAUGUGAGGAACACGAAUUCAGAAACAGUCUUAUUUGUAUGCAGCUUGGCAGCCAUCUUGCUGAAAACACUUGUUAUCUGUAGUGUGAAGUCCAGCAACUGACCUGUACCUCCAGGGCUGCUCAGGAUCCUGUGGCUUCAGUGGGAGUUCACAGUGCAUUUGUGGGAACUGAAUUCUAUGCAAGUUUCUGUUCUAGAUAGUAUGAAGUGAAACUUAAAACAAAGACUGAGGGAGCCUGGAACCUCUUUUAGUCUACAGUGCCUAACAGUUUCAGCAAGAUGGCUGCUGCUGCUAGGAAUUUAAUAUAUCUGUGCUCUUCUUGCAUCACACAUCUAACCUGUCACUGGAAGGAUAAGGGCUGGAUGUAAUAUAUUCUGCCAUGUGAAGCAAGCGUAGUAACAACAAGUGUUCUCAUUCAUCUACUUCCCUUGUAGAAACAGAAGAAUCUGAAGAGGAAGAUAAAGAAAAUGAUAAAGCUGAAGAUGAUAAGGAGAAUGAGCUGACAGUGGAAGACAAGUCUUUACAGGAAAGUGAGGAGGAUGAAAUUGGAAAUCUUGAGCUAGCCUGGGACAUGCUGGAGUUAGCAAAAGUAAUCUACAAGAGACAAGAAACAAAAGAAGCUCAGCUCCAUGCAGCUCAAGCUCAUCUAAAGUUAGGGGAAGUUAGCAUUGAAUCUGGUAAGUAAUAUUAAUUCUCAUGUACAAAGUGUUCAGUUCCACUUUCUGUCACUCUCUAUUUUGUACUUUAAAAUGAGCAGAGGUGAGUUAAGGCUGUUAAGAUGAAAACAAAAUAGACUUUUUCUAAUUAUGAUAGUGCAGCCAUGUGAGAAGCUUUGGAAUCAAUGGAUGAACAAGUUGGUGCCUUAAAGGCAAAAGCUGCAUGUGCAAGCGAAGCAAACCAAGGAAUUGAUUCACCACUUCCCAUUGGCAGGCAGGUGUUAAGCCAUCCGCAGGAAAGCAGGGCUCCAUCACACCUAACGGUUACUUGGGAAGACAAAAUGCUGUAACUCUGAACAUCCUGCCCUUCCUUCUUUUCCCCCAGCUUUAUAUGCUGAGCAUGAUGUCAUUAGGGUAUGGAAUAUCCCUUUGGUCAAU